UUCGCAAUGCCCGAAAGGGUGACGAAGCGACGCCGCGUGCGGGAAGAAGGCCUUCGGGUUGUAAACCGCUGUCGGGAGUUAAGAAAUGUAAGGAUGUUAAUAGCAUCUUUGCUUGACUAAGGCUCCGGAGGAAGCCACGGCUAACUCUGCGCCAGCAGCCGCGGUAAUACAGAGGCGGCAAGCGUUGUUCGGAAUUAUUGGGCGUAAAGAGCACGUAGGCGGCUAUGUAAGUCGGUUGUGAAAGCCUUCCGCUCAACGGGAGAACAGCAUCCGAUACUGCAUGGCUUGAGUGCGGGAGGGGAGAGUGGAACUUCUGGUGGAGCGGUGAAAUGCGUAGAUAUCAGAAGGAACGCCGGCGGCGAAAGCGGCUCUCUGGCCCAUAACUGACGCUGAGUGUGCGAAAGCUAGGGGAGCAAACGGGAUUAGAUACCCCGGUAGUCCUAGCCGUAAACGAUGGGCACUAAGUAGAGGGGUUUU
rnacentral:rRNA from 1 species